AUGCCUUUCUCGGCCUUUUGGCUAAGAUCAAGUGUAGUAUCUGUUCUUAUCAGAUUAAUAUCUGAUAUGUGGGUCAAUGAUUCACAUGAUAUUAAAUUACUUUUUUGAAGGGAAGAGUCCAACACAAUAGCUUGCUAUUGGGAUUCUCAAGUGUUGCCCAAGUGUUGCACUAUAGCAUGGGCCUGGCAUGCCCUAA
rfam:Glycine soja cultivar W05 scaffold521_54, whole genome shotgun sequence.